GCGGAGGUAACUCAGCCUGGGAGAGUGUCGGACUGAAGAUCCGAAUGUCGUGGGUUCAAAUCCCACCCUCCGCACCA
rnacentral:tRNA from 1 species